GUUACAGGCUGGGCUCAUCGCCCCUCAGCAGCCCAACAGAAAAAGAAUUUCUCUUCCCCCAAGAUUCUAACCCUAACUGCUCCCCAUUCCCUACGUGGGAGAUGGAGCGAGGCCAGUGUCCAACUGCCACUCUCGUCUGUACCUGAUUUCUGGGUUGAGCCUGCUCCUAUGGGCUUCCCACACCCCAUUAUUUUCUCUUUACAAAGGAUUUGUGCCCGCACUGCUUCCCCCCGCCCCGCCUCCUUUCCCAGCCCCACUUCACCCAUACCAAAGAGGAGCAGGACUUGCUGUUGGAAGACAGGAUUUGAGGUCCACUCCCAGUUUCAUGGCCUGCUUUUUUUGUCCCAUUAUAAUCAUUUAGUCCACAAAUGUCCACUGAGCACCUUCUGUGUGCCACUCUGAGUGUUCAGGCCUGUUAGUUGUGCCGGGAAGGGAGCAUCACCCAGGAGCCUUCCAAAGGCAGUGAGUUUUGUCCAAAGGCUAGCUUCCAGUCCCUCUCUGCCCCUCACUGUGUGGCCUGAGGGAAUUCUUUCCCCUCUCUGGGCUUCUGCUUUCUCCUCUGCAAAGCAAGGUGCUGGGGAAAAUGAGGUCCUGGAGCCCCCUCAGCUCUGACACACUGUGGUUCGGUCUUAGAGCGUGUCUCCUGCUCUGAGUCAAGCCAUGAGUGUCACGGACAGUGACCACGAUGCUCCAAAGGCGGGCUGGGCUGAGAAAAGGCCAUGGUCCCGCAGCUGCGCCUCGAAAUCCUUCCCCUUUGUGGCUGUCAAGGGGGCCCAGGGCAGAAGGGGAUCUGGGCCUUCUAAGCCUGUGAGAACCCUGGGCUCUGAGUUUCUGUGAGGUUACCCAGUGCUGCCGCUGAGACAGAAAAUCUCUCUUGGGCUGUUGGUGACUCCCAAGCCUGUCCACCACGGAUGGUCAAGCUGUGGACUCUGAAAGGGAAACGCAGGGAGGCCACAUGGACGGAGGAGAGGAUGAUGCCGAGCUCCCACGGACCCGCCCAUCGCCCUCCUCCCUGUCCCUCCCCUCUCCCCCCAGCCCACCCCUCUUUUCUCUGUCGCAGCUGAAACUGGUCAUCUCCCUGGAGGAGUGGAGACCCUGAGGUAUGGGGGGGGGGGGGCCCUCUGAGGCAUGCCCAGCGGAGAUGACUUCCUUUUUCUUCUGGUUGAGUCCAGGUUCUCUUCAUCCUUUGAACAUCUGGGGACAUGAAUGAAUUCCCCUGGUCACUCUGUCACUCAUUUGUCAGUUCACUCAGAGCUCAUUGCCUUAUUAAUCCAUUUGUUCCCUCCUUUAUUUAGCUCAUGCAUUUUUUCCUAAGCAAGAGGGGGAGAUUUAUUAGGAGAACACAGGGAACCCCAGAACAAACAGCGAAUAGGCUAACUCCUCUUCCCAAGUGACCAGAGCCAGCGGCUGGUAAGGCAUGAGGAACCAAGCCUGCUCUGUUCUUUCCCUGACCCUGGGGCCACCUAGCCACUCCUCUCUGCUUCCCUUUGCACAUCACUCAAUCCUCCUAUCUUUUUAAUCUGUUGGUUUCUCCCCGUUUCCACUGCCAUGACCCUAGUAAAGGAUUGUCCUUUUUUUGGCCUGGAGAAUUGAAAUGGCCUCCCAAUCUUUCUCCCCAAAUCCACUCUUGCCCAUUUCCAAUGGGUUGUUCUCCUUGCUGCAGCCAGAGUGACUUGCUACCAAUAGAGAAUGUAUUCUGUGGCUUUCCCUGGCUCCUAGGAUAAUCAUCAGAAUCAUAAGCGUGGUGUGGAACUGGAUGAUGGCUCGCCACCCUCAGUGCCCUUGUUGUGGUUCCUCCCAGCUGGAGGAUUAGGCGGCCCUGCUCCUUGUUGCUCUCGGGCACGGCAAGGGGGCUGAGGAACGGCAAAGAGCCGGUGUGCGCUUUGUCACUUCUUCUCCUUCUCCUGGGGCAAUGGCGAUAUUGCAGACAGACUGUCCCACAGCCUGAGUCCAGAGGGAAGGCGACAAGCAGUAGAACCAUGUGGACACGUAGCGCGAGAGAUAGACAGACCCGACUGUGGGCCCCUGAGAUCUGGGGACUCAUUUGUUCUCAGCAUAAUCCAGCCUCCCCUCACUGGUACCCAUGGCCCACAAGCUCUCCCUCACUGCCCUGUCUCUCCGCUGGAGGCUUUCAGUACUUACAGGAGCCGCUCCCUCCCACCUUGGAACGUGGUCUGUUACUCUCUCUCUUCGGAAAGUUGCUUAUGCCUAUUUCUGCCUGGUUUAUAUUUACUCACCAGUGAGAUCUCGGCUUAAACGUGAACUACUCAGGAAAGGACUGCCUGAUCUGUGUUCAGAGUACCUUCAAUUCCCCUUCUUUGUCACUAGAUCUCUUUCACUGAACUCUAAGUUCUGUGAAGACAGAGCUCAGGCAUUUGGCUCAUGCUUUUUUGAGGCUCUGCUCCAUCCUCACUAUGUGCCAGGGCCUGUGCUGAGGGGCUGGAGGGGACGGGGGUGAAUCAGCCAUAAGCCCGGCUCCCACAAACCCACCCCCUGGUAGGGGAGACAGACAUGCAAGCAGCAGCAUUCGAACCCACUGUGAUCAUUCCAGCCAGGAUAAAAGAGCAUAAUAAGAGUAUAUGAAAGAGGCUGGAAGGAAGGCAAGGGAGACUGCCUGGAGGAGGAGGCAUCAGAGCGGGUUUUGAGGAGGCAUUGGAGUUGUCCAGCUGCUGGUGGGACUUUUGUAACUUCACUGGGAACACGGGGAACAGAAGAUUUUAAGUGGGAAAUUCACAUCAUUUUAAUUUUCUAAAAAGGGGGAAAAAAUCUGCAAACCACAGACUGGGGAGCUGAGUCUCAGUUCCAGAGCAGAGUUGCCAGCCUGGAGAAGCUGUAAGAGACCCUGAUGCCAGUAGGUGGAGCGAGCGAGCGGUCACCAAGGACAAACGGCAGCGCGGUCACUUCAUUUUCUUUUGCUUGGAGCACGCGACUGGACUGGCCUUACCAAGACCACGUGUGACUCCUCCGAAAGAUGUUUGAGGGUCUCACUAAUGGUAUAUUUUCUGACAAAUGGAGAGAUGUGGGCUAAGCCCAAAUUAGUUGCAUUCAGAACAUUUAAAAAAUAGAUAAUUGGCCAUUCUCAUAUCUUAUCAAAUUGUACGACACACUAUCUUGUCCUUCUCCCUAUGACCAACCAGUGUCUAGAUUCACACUGGCAUAUGAACUUGUUUUCAUCAAAUGGGUUAAUAAGAAUCGGAGGGUUGGUUUGAGCCACGUUAGGCUGCACUGAAUGAAGAGGUAUAAUGUCUAGAGGAGGAGAGAUGAUGGGUUUACUCUCCUCUGGGCUAGGUAGACCACGUGGAAAGUUGUACUCAGUUUGGAAUACCACAUUUUUUAAGUGAAUACAGACAAAUUGGAACACUAUAAGCAGUGUGACAAGGAUGCUGAGGACUUGCGAUAUGUAUAUGCAAUGCAUACAAAAGACCUGGGGAUGCUCAAACAUGACGAGGAGCAGGGGUCUUGGGGGUGAGGGGAUAAGUCGGCUGCUCACAUCUGCUCGAGAGGCUGACAGGUAGAAGACUGUACAGGCGGAACUGGACGUGCAGUCGCUGCUCUUGGACCAAUCAGCGAAAGGGGAAGAACUGGAAUGAAGCUCAACCAACGGAGGAACGUUCAAACAGCUGCAGAUGUUCAAAGAUGAAGAGAUGUCAGUAGGAGGGAGUGAGUUCUCCUUCACCAGAUGUGUUCAAGUCAUUGAUAGACUCUAGCAACACUUUUCAUGGAUUUGGAGAAGAAGGCUCAAGUAUAAGCUGAGUGGUAGAUGAGGUCAGGGUUCACCAUAUGCUAGUCUAGGGAUGGGUGACAGUCCAUUAUAAAAUUUUUACUGAGUCCCUAGAAAGAUACAGGCAACAUGGCUCAUAAAUCUUAACUUAUUCCACUUAAAAGACUAUAAUUUAUUCUGAUAUUUUUUACUUCUUACUUUGUAAGGGUGAAAUGCCAUUUCCUUAAUGAAAUAAUAGCAAUGAUAGGAAUAGGUUUUAAAAUAUACCUUACCUGGCAAAAUAAAAAGUUUGGCAACCC
rnacentral:lncRNA from 1 species